rnacentral:rRNA from 1 species
CACGUGGGUAACCUGCCCUAUGGAGGGGGAUAACACAGAGAAAUUUGUGCUAAUACCGCAUGAUGUAGUACCAUCGCAUGAUGGAACUACCAAAGAUUUAUUGCCAUAGGAUGGACCCGCGGCCCAUUAGCUAGUUGGUGAGGUAACGGCUCACCAAGGCGACGAUGGGUAGCCGAUCUGAGAGGAUGAACGGCCACAUUGGAACUGAGACACGGUCCAGACUCCUACGGGAGGCAGCAGUGGGGAAUAUUGCACAAUGGGGGAAACCCUGAUGCAGCAACGCCGCGUGAGCGACGAAGG